CCUACGGGCGGCAGCAGUGAGGAAUAUUGGUCAAUGGGCGCGAGCCUGAACCAGCCAAGCAGCGUGAAGGAUGACUGCCCUACGGGUUGUAAACUCUUUUUAUAUGGGAAUAAAACGUUCCACGUGUGGGAUAUUGUAUGUACCAUAUGUAUAAGGAUCGGCUAACUCCGUGCCAGCAGCAGCGGUAAUACGGAGGAUCUGAGCGUUAUCCGGAUUUAUUGGGUUUAAAGGGAGCGUAGGUGGAUUGUUAAGUCAGUUGUGAAAGUUUGCGGCUCAACCGUAAAAUUGCAGUUGAAACUGGCAGUCUUGAGUACAGUAGAGGUGGGCGGAAUUCGUGGUGUAGCGGUGAAAUGCUUAGAUAUCACGAAGAACUCCGAUGGCGAAGGCAGUUCACUGGACUGCAACUGACACUGAGGCUCGAAAGUGUGGGUAUCAAACAGGAUUAGAUACCCCUGUAGUC
rnacentral:rRNA from 1 species